AUUGAACGCUGGCGGUAUGCUUAACACAUGCAAGUCGAACGGUAGCAGGCCUUCGGGCGCUGACGAGUGGCGGACGGGUGAGUAACGCGUAGGAAUCUGCCUCAUAGUGGGGGACAACGUGGGGAAACUCACGCUAAUACCGCAUACGCCCUACGGGGGAAAGCGGGGGAUCUUCGGACCUCGCGCUAUGAGAUGAGCCUGCGUUAGAUUAGCUAGUUGGUAGGGUAAAGGCCUACCAAGGCGACGAUCUAUAGCUGGUCUGAGAGGACGAUCAGCCACACUGGGACUGAGACACGGCCCAGACUCCUACGGGAGGCAGCAGUGGGAAAUAUUGGACAAUGGGCGCAAGCCUGAUCCAGCAAUACCGCGUGUGUGAAGAAGGCCCUAGGGUUGUAAAGCACUUUCAGUAGGGAGGAAAACCUGUCGGUCAAUACCUGGUUGGGAUGACGGUACCCAAAGAAUAAGCACCGGCUAACUUCGUGCCAGCCGCCGCCGUAAGAC
rnacentral:rRNA from 1 species